rnacentral:rRNA from 1 species
AGAGCACUCCUACGGGAGGCAGCAGUGGGGAAUAUUGCACAAUGGGCGCAAGCCUGAUGCAGCCAUGCCGCGUGUAUGAAGAAGGCCUUCGGGUUGUAAAGUACUUUCAGCAGUGAGGAAGGUGGGUAUGUUAAUAGCAUACUCAUUUGACGUUAGCUGCAGAAGAAGCACCGGCUAACUCCGUGCCAGCAGCCGCGGUAAUACGGAGGGUGCGAGCGUUAAUCGGAAUUACUGGGCGUAAAGCGCAUGCAGGUGGUUUGUUAAGUCAGAUGUGAAAGCCCGGGGCUCAACCUCGGAAUUGCAUUUGAAACUGGCAAACUAGAGUACUGUAGAGGGGGUAGAAUUUCAGGUGUAGCGGUGAAAUGCGUAGAGAUCUGAAGGAAUACCGGUGGCGAAGGCGGCCCCCUGGACAGAUACUGACACUCAGAUGCGAAAGCGUGGGGAGCAAACAGGAUUAGAUCCCCUGGUAG